GCCGUUGCCACUUUUCGAAGUGGUUGGUUGGUGGUGAUGCGUGGGGCCUGAUCCGUUGUAGGUCAGUGAUGGGGUGACGCAGUGAGGUAGCUAAGCCGCUUAUUGGAUUGCGGUGCAAGCGUGUGGCACGACACUUUGGUCAAAUCCGGGUGUCAUGAGUGUGAGGCGUGAUGCGUAGCCCGUAUUGGGUGAUGUUGGUGAUCCUGGACUGCCGAGAAAAGCCUCUAGCGAUGUGCAUGUACGGCCCGUACCCAUAACCGACACAGGUGGUCAGGUAGAAAAUACUCAGGCGAGCGGGUGAACUGUGGUUAAGGAACUCGGCAAAAUGCCCCCGUAACUUCGGGAGAAGGGGGACCCGCACUAGUCAAGCACUUCACGUGCGGCAGCUGGUGUGGGUCGCGGCA
rnacentral:rRNA from 1 species